rnacentral:rRNA from 1 species
GCCCAGACUCCUACGGGAGGCUGCAGUCGAGAAUCUUUCGCAAUGGGCGCAAGCCUGACGAAGCGACGCCGUGUGAGCGAAGAAGGCCUUCGGGUUGUAAAGCUCUUUCGCUAGGGAACAAGAGAUAUGGGAUAACACCCCAUUGAUUUGAUGGUACUUG